GUAACCUGCCUCAAAGAGGGGGAUAGCCUCCCGAAAGGGAGAUUAAUACCGCAUGACAAGUAUAAUCCGCAUGGAUUAUAUUUUAAAGGAGAAAUCCGCUUUGAGAUGGACCCGCGGCGCAUUAGCUAGUUGGCAGGGUAACGGCCUACCAAGGCGACGAUGCGUAGCCGACCUGAGAGGGUGAACGGCCACAUUGGAACUGAGAGACGGUCCAGACUCCUACGGGAGGCAGCAGUGGGGAAUAUUGCACAAUGGGCGAAAGCCUGAUGCAGCAACGCCGCGUGAGUGAAGAAGGUUUUCAGAUUGUAAAGCUCUGUCAUCUGGGACGAUAAUGACGGUACCAGAUGAGGAAGCCACGGCUAACUACGUGCCAGCAGCCGCGGUAAUACGUAGGUGGCAAGCGUUGUCCGGAAUUACUGGGCGUAAAGGGUGCGCAGGCGGACAUUUAAGUGAGAUGUGAAAUACCCGGGCUUAACCCGGGCAGUGCAUUUCUAACUGGGUGUCUGGAGUGCAGGAGAGGAGAACGGAAUUCCUAGUGUAGCGGUGAAAUGCGUAGAGAUUAGGAAGAACACCAGUGGCGAAGGCGGUUCUCUGGACUGUAACUGACGCUGAGGCACGAAAGCGUGGGUAGCAAACAGGAUUAGAUACCCUGGUAGUCCACGCCGUAAACGAUGAGUACUAGGUGUAGGAGGUAUCGACCCCUUCUGUGCCGCAGUAAACACAAUAAGUACUCCGCCUGGGAAGUACGAUCGCAAGAUUAAAACUCAA
rnacentral:rRNA from 1 species